UACCUUUUUAGCCUUAUGACUCGUGCCGUGAGGUGUUAGGUUAAGUCCUGCAACGAGCGCAACCCCUGUCACUAGUUGCCAUCAUUAAGUUGGGGACUGUAGUGAGACGGCAUACGCAAGUAGAGAGGAAGGUGGGGAUGAUGUCAAAUCAUCACGGCCCUUACGCCUUGGGCCACACACGUAAUACAAUGGCCGGUACAGAGGGCAGCUACACAGUGAUCAGAUGCAAAUCUCGAAAGCCGGUUUCAGUUCGGAUUGGAGUCUGCAACUCGACUAUAUGAAGCUGGAAUCGAUAGUAAUCGCGCAUCAGCCAUGGCGCGGUGAAUACGUUCCCGGGCACAGUACACACCGCCAGUCAAGCCAUGGAAGUAUGGGGUACUUGAAGACGGUGACCGUAACAGGAGCGCGUAUAGAUACCCAA
rnacentral:rRNA from 1 species